rnacentral:rRNA from 1 species
AAGUCGAGCGGACAGAUGGGAGCUUGCUCCCUGAUGUUAGCGGCGGACGGGUGAGUAACACGUGGGUAACCUGCCUGUAAGACUGGGAUAACUCCGGGAAACCGGGGCUAAUACCGGAUGCUUGAUUGAACCGCAUGGUUCAAUUAUAAAAGGUGGCUUUUAGCUACCACUUACAGAUGGACCCGCGGCGCAUUAGCUAGUUGGUGAGGUAACGGCUCACCAAGGCAACGAUGCGUAGCCGACCUGAGAGGGUGAUCGGCCACACUGGGACUGAGACACGGCCCAGACUCCUACGGGAGGCAGCAGUAGGGAAUCUUCCGCAAUGGACGAAAGUCUGACGGAGCAACGCCGCGUGAGUGAUGAAGGUUUUCGGAUCGUAAAACUCUGUUGUUAGGGAAGAACAAGUACCGUUCGAAUAGGGCGGUACCUUGACGGUACCUAACCAGAAAGCCACGGCUAACUACGUGCCAGCAGCCGCGGUAAUACGUAGGUGGCAAGCGUUGUCCGGAAUUAUUGGGCGUAAAGCGCGCGCAGGCGGUUUCUUAAGUCUGAUGUGAAAGCCCCCGGCUCAACCGGGGAGGGUCAUUGGAAACUGGGGAACUUGAGUGCAGAAGAGGAGAGUGGAAUUCCACGUGUAGCGGUGAAAUGCGUAGAGAUGUGGAGGAACACCAGUGGCGAAGGCGACUCUCUGGUCUGUAACUG